CCCUUAGAUGUUCUGGGCCGCACGCGUGCUACACUGACCGGCGCAACAAGUUUCUUUCCUUGGCUCGAUAGGCCUGGGUAAUCUUUGAACGCCGGUCGUGAUGGGGAUAGAUCCUUGCAAUUUUUGAUCUUCAACGAGGAAUUCCUAGUAAAUGCGAGUCAUCAUCUCGCGUUGAUUACGUCCCUGCCCUUUGUACACACCGCCCGUCGCACCUACCGAUUGAAUGGUCCGGUGAAAUCUCGGGACGGCGGCUUGGUCGCUUGCGUCCGACUGCUGAAACUUGAUUAAACCAUAUCAUUUAGAGGAAGGUGAAGUCGUANCA
rnacentral:rRNA from 1 species